GCCAUUGCAGUAGACUGUUAUGCAAACCACUGAGAAUGAAUAUCAAAUUUCUCAUCCAGCACUUCCCAGCCGAAUCUCAGCUUUCCAGGAUAUAGUCCAUCAUUCUAAUCCUGAUGACAUUGUGAAACUACCAUAUAAACACUUCGAAGGACAAGUGUCUGAGAUGUAUGAUCACAAAGAAAUGGGGACUUGUGCAUGUGAUUUUCAACACUUACCAUUGUGCAGGCUCUGUGAAGAAAAGUAGUCCUUUUCCUUACAUUAUUUAUGGCUUUUUCUUGCAGAGAGUCCAGUGCUCUAUCAGAUGAGAAAACCAGCAGUGAGAAGGAUGUAACUGCACCCAUCCUACCCUGUGUCAUGAGAAAGCCUCUGGAGUAAGGAAAACUCCCAGCUGAUUGUAAGAGUGCUCUGUUGCCAUUACAAAAGACCCUCUUCUUUGGGAAAAAAAAAGCUGAAUUUCCGGUGUGAGAUCAUCAGGUUCAAGAAAAGGAGAAAAAAUGCCCUUAAAAAAAUAGCUGAAGCAGACAGCAGAGCAGGAAUUGGUGAUUGUCUGGCAGACAGUCAGAUCAACAGUCAUGGCAAGGAACGAGGAGCACUGGCUCUGCAGCUGCAGGCUAAAAAAAAAAUUGAUGCCUUGCGCUACACUGCUGAGACAGAGAGAAGCAGAGUUCAUGGACUGAUCACUUUGCAUGGAAUUUCAGUUUACUGUCAUUGAAGACCUCACAAAGUUGAGAGAGGCAUCACAGGCUUGCUCUCUCCUCUUACUACUGUGGCUUCUCAGAAGGAUACGUGCACUGCAGUUGUUAAAAACUGGGGUAGAAAGAAACGUGAGUAUUAAAAGGCAGCUACACCUCCGCCACUGCAAUGGCUGAUGGGAGGGAGUUCAUGCUCUCUGACCGUGCUCUGAGAUAGCUGCAUGAACCUUACGAUGCCUGCCCUUUAACAGAAAAGAACAAGUUUGUAACAGGAUGAGGGAUCCACCCAAGAAGAAUCCUUUGAGUGAUCAGCAGCACUGCACUGCCUUGUUACUUCAACCUGUUCAUCAUGAGACCUUUUGCUCAGUCCUUCCAGAGUGCAAAAAGCAUUUCUGUCUCACCUACUUGGCUUGAAAUAAAAUUCUUCAAUGAGCAUCAAAUUAUCCAUGGUAUAUUUCUAUCCAGUGCAAUGCAUUAACUUAAUCUGGAUAACAUGUAGUUUCAUGUAAUCCCUAGGUGAUAAUUUGACUGAAAUAUUCUAGGGAUUCAUUAUAAGUGUCUUUUCCACAGUAUCAGAGAGGGAAAUAAUUGUAUGCACUUGACAGAAUGAAAUGCUUGUAAAAAACAGUGAUUUUAUCUGUUACACUUGAAUACAAGACAGAUUUUGUUUACUUCCUCUAAAUGGAAAAGAAAUCUCAAUGAAAAAUCUUAUAUUGGUCUUAAUUUGGUUUAGUUGCUUAAAGGCUGGGUCCCUACACUCCCCACUUAAUAUCUUCUUCUCUGCCAAGAUAGUGUAAAUUCUGCAGAAACAACCAGUAUUCUGGCACAAUGCCCUGUAAAAUUCUUGUCUCCCAGUUUCACUUGGUGAUUUUUUUUUUUUGCCUAAGCACCUAGAAGAUAACAGGUUUACUCUCAACUUCACCAGUAUAGUUCAUGGUGACAAUUUUCCUUUCUUUCACUUAUGUAUUGGUUUAGUUUAUUCUUGCUGUCAAUCUUUAUUGAUCACAGGAAGAAGCACUUAUUAUUAUUGGCAUUUAAGCCAUUAGAAUUUACUGGACAAAAUUUUAUCGCUUGCUCUUUCAGAAUUUACAAAUAUUGGAUGGCCUGUCCUCUACAAUCAUUUCAUGUUCUCUGUCUCUCAUAACAUGUAAUUAUGUAUAAAAUGGGUUCUGUAGUGGCACAAAGAAGCUUUGUGGAUAUCCCUACCAACACCAUAAGACAGUUUCUUUGUAGAUUAACAAUGCUAAGAGUGCACAGGAGUUCAGGGUUCAUAGAUCUAAUGUGGCUUUCAUUUAGAAGUCUAAGUGCUAGCUACUCACAUUUUUAUAAUGAGUCUGCAGCUCUGAAAAGGAAAGAAAAUAAUUAUUAGCAACACUGUAUCAGAGAAGAAAGAGAAUUCCCUCUUUGGGAAGAAUAUUAUUGUGCAAGUGAAAAAGAAAAAAUUAAAUGUUUAAUAAUAUUCCUUGUUGAAUGACUAUUUCUGGAAGCCUGCAAUCACAAAUGUAAAAAAAAGGCUGAUAUAAAUAUUACAAUGUAUAAUCUCAAAAAUGUGUAGAAGGGAAACACUUUUAUCCUGUUGUGUGGGCAAUUAGACACACCUACUGAAUGCACUCAGAAAUUGUUCUUCACUGAUUUCUCUGCUUAUUAUUAUUUCUUG